GCCAGGCCGGGGAGCGACGACGCGAACUCUCCCCGUUCUCACUCACCGGCAUCAUCUCCGCAGCCUUCUCUGCGCCGGGCCCGCCGAGCUGUGCCGGCCUCUCCCGCCGCCGCCGCCUCUCACCGCGGAGGACGCCGCGCUCGCCCUGGCGGCUGUGACAGAUGAAGGUUCAGCCAGUGCAGCAGCCAGACAGACUGGAUACUGAGGGCUAGGAGGAAAUGUCUUCAAAAGAGACAAAAGGAGGAAAAUGAGCUUUCCAACCUUUUGAGAUCCAAGUGUUCUCCAGUUUUGCAUUCAUUUGUUAAGAUGCUUUUCCAGAGCAUAGGAAAAUUUUUUCACGCUUUGGAGGUGUCACAGGAAAGUAAUUUUGAAUUAAUGUAACACUUUUUUCUUUGCAUGUGGUAUUAUUUUAAAUAAAAGAUACUGCUAUUUAUAGCCA